rnacentral:SRP_RNA from 1 species
GUGCAUGGUGGCACACAUCUGUAACUCCAGCUGUCAGAGAUACUGAGGCUGGCAGAUAUCUUGAACUCAGAAGUUCUGAGUUGCAGUUGGCAGUGCAGAUUGAGCAUCUAUACUGAGUUAGGCAUCAUGAUGGUGAGCCCUCUGGAAUGAAGGGGAGGUCACUAGAUUGCCUAAGGAAGGGUGAAUUAGCCUAGAUCAGAAAUGGUACAGGUCAAACUCCCAUACUGAUCAAUAGUGAGACUGGGCCAUGAGUAUUCCCUGUAGUUCCAGUCUGGGCAAGAUAGGGAGACCUGUCUUUA